UUAACUAGUGAAUAACAAAUAUACAUUGUGUUCGGAACGGUAUAACAUCAAGAUGGAUGUACUGGCCAUAUUAACUACUGGAAAGAGAAGAGGACAGGGCUCCCAAUGACUGUAUUGGAUGAAGCACUGGAAAGAGAAUAUGCUAUGCCACCCACUCUAAGGCCUUAACAAUUGAAGGCGAAGGAAGGUGAUGAUGAUGAUGAGUAUGCAAAAAAGAAAGAGCGAAGGGAGGAACCAAACCCCCAACUCCUUGGGGCGAAUCAAGGCCCUUUCACUAUGCUUGUCCCACUAGAUAGCUUGGGAAAAUCUGUCAAUUCAAACCUCUAUACAAAUGACUACGCCUAUUCAAACCUCAAUUCCAUACAAAGCACUUACGUACGCCUCUAACUAACAAUAUAAGACUAGCUAAAGCUAGACACAGGCUCUUGCUAGAAAGAGUCGCAAGCUGCUAACUUUUCCAUGAGAUCUACACGUGAAUGAAAGGGUCUACGAAACUGCCCCACCAUUUCGACACCGCUUUGUUAAGUGGGCAGCCUACACAUUGGAAGAGGGGAUAUGGGGUUAGACGGCUUCUGUUGGUGUUCUCCCUUGGGGGGUUAUUUAAGCGACUGCUUGGAUUUGUUUCUUGAGUUUCUUUCUUUAUGUGUAAUCAUAAGCUCAAUCGCUUUCCAUCAAGGAAGUAUGCAAAGUUCGCUCCUUGUCAAAGUGGAACUGACUCCGGGCCCUAAAGAACUAGAAAGAGCUAGCCUACUUGAAUGGAAAGAUGUUCUCCCGGAGCUCCCUGCCUUGAUCGACUGUGUCUGAGCUGAGGGAAUAAGGCUUAGCACCUUUUCUCCCGAGUCAAGGGGCUGUACUCAAUCAAUGGUUCUGGUGGGUCAGCGGUAAAUCUGCUUUUCUUUUAAGUAAGAUGCCGCGAUAUGUGAUUCCAGGGUUUCAUUAGGUUAAUUUCCCCUUACACCUAACAUAACAGAUCGGCACCAACAUAUACUAUCUUAUUGACUUAGUGGUUAAGGUUUAGGUUCAGAAAGUGUAGUUCCUGGCUUUGAUGCGAGGUCUACUAACAAGCUUAAGGAUCUGGAUCCGAGGCUGGGCAAGGAAAAUCUACUUGUUCAGGUAAAGAAUAAGGAGAAGGCUAAACGAGCUCCUAUAUCAAGAGAAAGAUUAGAAAGAAUAAAGUCCUGUGUUUUAGCGUAAGGAGCCAUCAGGGUGCUUCAUCAAGUGGAGUUUCUUCUUUUGUGCGCUAGCUUACUGUCUUUCUACUACUGAUUCUCGAGUCGACUAGGAUUCAACUUAUUGUCUUAGCGCUUCAGCAGUUGAUCAUUCAGUCCAAUCUUCUUUUUACGAAUCAACAAGAACGGAAAGAGACUCUCGUAUUCAGUACUUUGAACUAGAGCAGGUCAAUAAGGCUAAAGAGUAGAUGAGGCUUCUUAUUACUAACCUGAUCUGGCUUCUUAUCCUUCUAAAGAAAGCUGAUGAUCUCGAUUCCACACUCGAACCUUUACUGGAUUCUGCCUCGACCCCUGCUUGAAAAUAUUGAUUAUUUCCCCCGAACUCGACUUUCCUGUCAACCGUAUUCCACUACUUUGCACUCUUGCUCUUAUCCCUGGGUUUCUGGCUCAAGUACUGUUGCUUGCCCGAUUUCAUCUUUAAUAACAAUUGUAUACCUCUGGAAUAGUCUACUUCUCCUCUUCUCUUGUCUAUACGUUGCUUGGCCCUUCCAGUCCUUUCUUUCUUACCCACUUCCUAUUGUCUACCUUGCCGACCUGUAUUUAUAGAGUGCCUUUCCGAAUGGAUUGAGAGUACCCUGCUUGAACACCCAUCUUUAGAGUCGUUUAACUAACCUAUGCUCACGUGAAACCCUGGCACACCAGAAGGUAUCAAACGAAAGAAGAAAACCGGCUGGCUAUCUAUCCAGAGUGGCUUGUUUAGUAGUUGCUUGUUGAUUCCACUCAGAAUGUCGCCUAGACUAUUGAUUGCCCCUGUACCUCUGGCUACAAAAGUGAUAAUUGAGCCCUGCUGACAACACCGCUCUAUACGAGAUUAUUUCAUUUAUUGACUUCGAGCCCUGUACUAUGUUCUUUCCUCAUUGUAGAGUUUAGUGAUUCUUUCAUUAUAGUGAGGUGCGUGCCGUGCCCAUCUAAGUGCCUAAUAUGUAUGUCAUAGUUGAGUUCGCCCAAGUGUGGUAGUGGGAGUGAGUGUUGAAGGAAGAUGCUCUAGUGGAUCCCCCAUUAUUAGAAUAAGAGCGAGUAAGAUGCAUGCUCUAUAUCCCCCAUUAUUAGAAUAAGAGCAGUGUUGUUACUAAGUUCUAUAUGUUUGAUGCACGCUAGAUUCCACUAUAUAAGAUAUAUGUUUGAUGCAUGCUAGGAUGAAACUAUAUAAGUGAGUAAGCUGUCAAUAUCUUCAUAAUCUGUACAUUGAUAAGAAACGACUUUGCCCUAGCGAAUUUGCUUAUUCAAGUUGUUAAUAGUUAGAGGUGACAAUACUCUUAUCAUAGGGAAGAGCACUCAAUUCAAACAAGUAAGGGCGAAAGCAAGUGGUAGAUAAAAACCAAUGGAACAAGCUUUAAGAUGUUAGGUUACACAUUUCUAUAAGUUCCGCUAUUAACCAUCUUCGCAGUGUUUUUCAUUUGAAAUAUCAUGUGGUAUGGUACACCUAAAUUCUCUUCUUUAGAAUUAGCAGACUUACUUAGAUAUCAUAUUGUCCUACCUUGAUAAAGGAUACUUGUGUAUUCUACCGGGGGUAGGCUCGGAAUGUGCCUAAGGAGUGACAGAGUAGAGCUAGCCAGUAUAAGCCUUAAGCCGCUCUCCAGGAUACGGAAUUUCCCUCAGUAGGCUAAGAAUGCGAGGGUAAAGACUCUGACUGGAUACUGGAUUCCAGGUGACAGAAUUGACCUUAGUGGUUCAAGAAUUCAUCCAGUACUAGCUUCUCUCUUUCCCUAUUUAUUAAGUCUUCCCUGUAUCUAGACUACAUCAAUACCCAUUUCUUAAGUCUUGCCCGCAUCUCUAGUACUAUACCAAUACGACUUUAAGAUUGAACUCACCAAUACUACUAUAAGACUACCCGCAUCUAGUAUUUCAUUACAUGACUUAGCAUCUAGGCCUUAGCAACAGUAGCAGUGUGUUCCGAUAGUAGCAACAGUAGGAGUGAGUUCCAAAAACAAGGCUUUCACGCCAGAGCCAGAUUGAGAGCCAUAACACCCAGGGUCAACUCCUCUUAUGUAUGGUCCACGGCACUCCUUACGCUAAUUCUCCAGCUAUUGAUCUAGAACCACCAAACAAAACAACAACUAAACAAGCAACUCGGGAAGAAAAUGCAGGACUUGUGCGCCAACACCGACUGAUGAAACUCGGGAUUACACUCUAACCAGAGCAGCCCUACCGCCAUGAAUACCAACGGACACAGGACCUGGUAGAGCAGAGACAAAAGAAAUCAAUCAAGAAAUCAAGAAAGUAGAGGCGGAAAGUAGAGGCGGAACCCCUGUAGCUGUACUUUAAGAAUGAACUGGCAAGAGAGAGAGGUCCGCUCGAAAUAGGGUAUUCGUUUUCCUCGGUCCUUGGCGCAGGAGAGAAUAAAUGAUUGUUUGAAGUGAUAAUUCCUAGUGAUUUCAUUGUGCUUUACUUUAUGACUUAAGAAUUCCCGACCUGUGAAGAUUCAAUCAGAAACUACUUUCGAAAGAGGGAGAACCUGAUUGGCUGUUUACAGGAGACCCGUCCACUUGAGCCUGAAGCUGCUUCUCGCAUGAAAAGGCAUGAUCAAAUAAAGAGGGCUUCUCGAUGUCUGAAGGAACCCAUGUACUUUGACUAGGCUCGGAAUAGCUUCCCACAAACACAUAGCCUGCAGGCAAGGAGGCAAACUCUGCUCCUUACUCUAUACUUGUUGAACUGACUCAAGCGAACUCACUCAAGGCAAAACCCAAGUGUCUAGCCAUGAGUAAGGGGGGACCGAAGGCAGUCUCUUUCCAGCCGCCUGUCUUUUCAAGCCAGUCCAAAAAGAUGUAUUUCCAAUCAGUAGGUGAUAAGAUGCAUUCAAAUCGAUCAAGGGGAGAGAACGACAAUAAGAAGACAUUCAUCCAUUUUCCCUUUAGGAGUCCAUUUUCCCUUUCUUUUGAUGAGUCAAUAUUCCCUUAUUUUUGAUGAGUAAAUAUUCCCUUAUUUAUUGUUUUUACUUAGAAUUGGUAGUGCUCUUAGUCCCUCCACUCCUGCCUUCCUGUUCCAUUGCUUUUUCUGGCUUACCUUACGUUGAGUUCCUGUUUUCGGGAGUUCACCUUGAGAAUGCAAUGAUCACUUGAGAGUUUAGGGGUAUAGUAUAGAAGUCGCACCACUCACAAAGUUCAGUAAAGCAUCACUAACUAAAGAAGAUAGAGUGAGCUGUUAUAGAAAUGGGUACCCAAAGGUAUAGGUAGAUUUCAGAUCCAAGUCGUCAACUUAUUGUCCAGCAGUCGCUUCUUGUCGGUCUGUUCCAGUUAUUGUUUCAUCCUAUAUAUAAGCCGAAGAUAAUCUAGUAUUCGCGCGGAUAGAGGAAUAAGUUGGAAGAUCAUCAGCAUCAGAAUGGCCUGUUCCACUGGUAAGGAGUCAUCCAAAUAAUCAAGGAUAAGAAUAAGUGCAAAGAGCAGGUACAAAAAACAUUCUACUAAGCUUGUUCCGCCGCAGAGCUUGCUUCUUUAGACUCUGGAUUCACUUACCUUACCCGCAACACAAGAAAGAACUUGAUAACCGGCCGAUACUACCACUACAAGGUCAAGCUAGCAAUUAGGUUCGGUGUCCUACCACCAUCUUAUAGAAUAUGUUCCGUCUGGUAUAUGAUUUCUUUUAUAUAGAAUAUGUUCCGUCUGGUAUAUGAUUUCUUUCGAGUGCGCCUAUGAUC
rnacentral:lncRNA from 1 species